rnacentral:rRNA from 1 species
GACGAACGCUGGCGGCGUGCUUAACACAUGCAAGUCGAACGGAAAGGCGCUGCUUUUGUGGGGUGCUCGAGUGGCGAACGGGUGAGUAACACGCGAGUAACCUGCACUUGACUUUGGGAUAACUUCAGGAAACUGGGGCUAAUACACGAUAGGAGAUCCUGCUGCAUGGUGGGGGUUGGAAAGUUUCGGCGGUUGGGGAUGGAUUCGCGGCUUAUCAGCUUGUUGGUGGGGUAGUGGCUUACCAAGGCUUUGAAGGGUAGCCGGCAUUCGAGGGUGACCGGCGACAUGAGGACUAAGGGACGGACCAGACGCCUACGUGAGGCAGCAGGGGGAAACAUGGCAGAAUGGGCGGAAGCCUGAGGCAGCAGCGCCGCGAGCGUAAUGACGGCUUUCUGGGUGUAAACCACUUUCGCCUGAAACGAAGCGGGAGUGACGGUAAUGAGUAAAGAAGCACCGGCUAACUACGUG